rnacentral:rRNA from 1 species
GGCAGCAGCCGCGGUAACACCGGCAGCUCGUAGUGGUAGCAAUUUUAUUGGGCCUAAAGCGUCCGUAGCCGGUUUAAUAAGUCUCUGGUGAAAUCCUGCAGCUUAACUGUGGGAAUUGCUGGAGAUACUAUUAGACUUGAGACCGGGAGAGGUUAGAGGUACUCCCAGGGUAGAGGUGAAAUUCUGUAAUCCUGGGAGGACCGCCUGUUGCGAAGGCGUCUAACUGGAACGGUUCUGACGGUGAGGGACGAAAGUUAGGGGCGCGAACCGGAUUAGAUACCCGGGUAGUCCUAACUGUAAACGAUGCGGACUUGGUGUUGGGGUGGCUUUGGGCUGCUUCAGUGCCGAAGGGAAGCUGUUAAGUCCGCCGCCUGGGAAGUACGGUCGCAAGACUGAAACUUAAGGAAUUGGCGGGGGAGCACCACAACGCGUGGAGCCUGCCGGUUUAAUUGGAUUCAACGCCGGACAUCUCACCAGAGGCGACAGCUGUAUGAUAGCCAGGUUGAUGACUUUGCUUGACUAGCUGAGAAGAGGUGCAUGG